rnacentral:lncRNA from 1 species
CUUUUACUGAGGAGUGGCUUCUGUCUGGCCACUCUACCAUAAGGGCCAGAUUGGUGGAGUGCUGCAGAAAUGGUUGUCCUUCUGGAAGUUUCUCCCAUCUCAUAGAGGACCUCUGGAGCUCUGUCAGAGUGAUCAUCGGGUUCUUGGUCACUUCCCUGACCAAGGCCCUUCUCCCCGGUUUGCUCAGUUUGGCCGGGCGGCCAACUCUAGGAAGAGUCUUGGAGGUUCCAAACUUCUUCCAUUUAAGAAUGAUGGAGACCACUGUGUUCUUGACUCCAAUAAAGCUGUAGAAUCAUCAAGGAUGAUCAAUGGAAACAGGAUGCACCUGAGCUCAAUUUUGAGUCUCAUUGCAAAGGGUCUGGAUACUUAUGAAAAUAAGGUGUGCUGUAGUCAGAGCAGAUCCCUUCCAGCUGCAACUCGUUCCAUAAUCAAGACCUCUACAAAUACUCAGUCCUGCCGCUUCCACUCUGCCAGAUCGUAAUCUCUGCUCAUUAACGCUCUGUCUCUGGUUCCUGUCCCACAUCUCACCACCCAACUACCUUGCUCUGGAUUUUACUCACCACCACUACCUUGGAUUCCCCUCAGGACCUGUUUACCCUGUUCUACUUAGCUAACUCUGACCUCAGUCUCCACAUCUGGUUUUUCUGCAACUCAUCCGAGCUUCCCCGGAUGUGCACUCCAUAUCGCCCUGUGUAACAAUAAAUAUUUUGGUUCACUCAUCCCUGUUUCCUCAUCUGAGUCUGCUCUUCGGUUCCCCUGUGUCGCUGGGCGUAACAAACUGAGCAUAGGUCAUUGACAGAAACAACUUGAAUUGUUGCAUCUCAUUGUGUUCUUGUCCUCCAGUGGCUAGCUAACUAAAAUUGUCAGUUUCCUAAAUUAGCCAUAGGUGAAGAUAAGGAUUUGGAUUUGUGGUUUUACUUAAUUCUCCGUACUGGCCAAUGAUUAUAACGGUGAUUCUGAUCCAAUUAUUAAUUCAUACAUUGUGCCCCUGGCCCGAGAGGAUGGAAGUUCAAUAUGUAGCUAGAUGUAGAAGGUUAAUGUUAACUAGCUAACGUUGCCUGUGAAAGAAAGUUAGGCUAGCAUUUUAGCCAGGUAGCCUUAAAGUGUGUACUGUAUGACAGAGUAAUAGACCAUUAAGUCAACAUGAAAGAGAGGAUGGCAUUGGCGUUUCUCUACAAGUAGGCUGAGUCAACAUGUUUUUAUUUCUACUUGCACAAACUUUCACGGACGCACGCACACACACACACACACACAUACGCACAGAGAAAGCAGAAACAUGGACAACCACAUAUUUAGCUUACGUUGAUUGAACUAAAUCGUUUUUGGUAUCUUUUAGUUGUCACUGUAUUAGAUUAAGCUUCGUUGAUUUGAUGUUGAAAUGGUGCUGGAAUAGUGCUCUCCGGUUUGUGAGGGAACAGCAGUGUGGUCGAAUAUAUUCUGCCACUGUGUCUUCUUAUUGUCUUGGCCUUUAAGCUUAGAUAUCACGGUGGCAAGACAUAUGAACUGACAGGUUAUAGAGCAAACAGCACAAUUAUCACAACACAUAGGUUGUAAUAUGGCUUUGUGACGACCCUCCCACUCUGUCUGAGGUAUUCUUUCUCUUUGCUCUUGUUUUCCUUAUUAGGAUGCCGGUGGGCGGAGCCAGGAGCAAAAUGGCACACACAUGUGCAUUUCGCUACUUGCCAAGCGUUUUGCUACACUCGCAUUAACAUCUGCUAAACAUGUGUAUGUGACAAAAUAAAAAUUUGAUUGGAUUUAGUCCUUUUCCCCAUUCACUGAGGAGACUCUCUCCAUGCAGUCACACUGUUUGAUUUUGGCAUUUUUGUGUACAUUUCCUUUGUUUCCUUUGUUUCCUUUGGCACCUUUCAACAUCCCUCAUUAUCACAUCUAUGCACGCAACCACUCACUUACACUACUGACUACAUACGCCAAUUGUUUAUUACUUCACUUCUUAAAUAUAU